CGUAGGGACCAAGCGUUGUUCGGAUUUACUGGGCGUAAAGGGCGCGUAGGCGGCAAUUCAAGUCAUCUGUGAAAUCUCCGGGCUUAACUCGGAACGGUCAGAUGAUACUGCUUUGCUCGAGUGCGGAAGGGGCAAUCGGAAUUCUUGGUGUAGCGGUGAAAUGCGUAGAUAUCAAGAGGAACACCUGAGGUGAAGACGGGUUGCUGGGCCGACACUGACGCUGACAGCGCGAAAGCCAGGGGAGCAAACGGGAUUAGAUACCCCGGUAGUCCUGGCCCUAAACGAUGAAUACUUGGUGUCUGGAGUUUUUAGUGCUCCGGGUGCCGUCGCUAACGUUUUUAGUAUUCCGCCUGGGGAGUACGCUCGCAAGAGUG
rnacentral:rRNA from 1 species